AGCUUUGCGCAGUGGCAGUAUCGUAGCCAAUGAGGUUUAUCCGAGGCGUGAUUAUUGCUAAUUAAAAAGUGAAGUGGAAUUCAGUGGUAUAUGUGUUCAUCCCUCAUCUUUAUUUACUUACAUUGAAUUGCUUCCUGACA